AAUUCGGAAAUUACUUGGGCGUAAGUCACGGCAGGCGGUCGUCAAGGUCGAUGUGAAUCCCGGCUUCUUCUGGGAAACUGCAUCGAACUUGCAGCUAGAGUCUUGUAGAGGGGGGGUAGAUUCCCAGCUGUAGCGUGAAAUGCGUAGAGAUCUGGAGGAAUACCGUGCGAAGGCGGCCCCCUGGACAAAGACUGACGCUCAGGUGCGAAAGCGUGGGGAGCAAACAGGAUUAGAUACCCUGGUAGUCCACGCCGUAAACGAUGUCGAUUUGGAGGUUGUGCCCUUGAGGCGUGGCUUCCGGAGCUAACGCGUUAAAUCGACCGCCUGGGGAGUACGGCCGCAAGGUUAAAACUCAAAUGAAUUGACGGGGGCCCGCACAAGCGGUGGAGCAUGUGGUUUAAUUCGAUGCAACGCGAAGAACCUUACCUGGUCUUGACAUCCACAGAACUUUCCAGAGAUGGAUUGGUGCCUUCGGGAACUGUGAGACAGGUGCUGCAUGGCUGUCGUCAGCUCGUGUUGUGAAAUGUUGGGUUAAGUCCCGCAACGAGCGCAACCCUUAUCCUUUGUUGCCAGCGGUUAGGCCGGGAACUCAAAGGGGACUGCCAGUGAUAAACUGGAGGAAGGUGGGGAUGACGUCAAGUCAUCAUGGCCCUUACGACCAGGGCUACACACGCGCUACGAUGGCAUAUACAAAGAGAAGCGACCUCGCGAGAGCAAGCGGACCUCAUAAAGUAUGUCGUAGUCCGGAUUGGAGUCUGCAACUCGACUCCAUGAAGUCGGAAUCGCUAGUAAUCGUAGAUCAGAAUGCUACGGUGAAUACGUUCCCGGGCCUUGUACACACCGCCCGUCACACCAUGGGAGUGGGUUGCAAAAGAAGUAGGUAGCUUAACCUUCGGGAGGGCGCUUACCACUUUGUGAUUCAUGACUGGGGUGAAGUCGUAACAAG
rnacentral:rRNA from 1 species